rnacentral:lncRNA from 1 species
AUGAUUCCACAUAAUUUUAUUAUUACUCAAUCACAAAUGAGGUAACAAUUUGUUAUAUACAUCAAUUUACAUGAGAGUAUCACAAGCAGAUAAUAGACCCCUUACUAGCUCCGCUGUCGUACAUUUUGCCGGUUCAUUCUUCCAAUAUUCCGGCAUUCAAAUUUACUGAUGAUCUGGUCACUCAAUACAAUUACUACAUAAAAAACUGGCACCAAUAGGAAUAUGCAGAAUGUGGCAGGACUCAUAUCUCCGGUUUUGUUCAUCUUGUUAUAUACGGAUAGAAAACACCGCAUGUCUAGCAAAACUUUUCCAGGAAGAAGUUCACUUAAAGUGCCGCUUUGCCAGUUUACAUGAACCUCCUAUUGAUUUGGGUUUGUACUGCUAUCUGCAAUAAUAUAUACGAAGACUACCAUGGUUCAGAGUUGUUACCAAGAAAGUUUCUAAUAUAUGACGGCCUGCUCCAACCAUCCUCCAUCAGAAUUAGGUUAAGGCGUAUCAUCAAUUUCUCUGCGGCAUCUUCCUCCAAAACGGUUAACGAAUCAGACGGUCGCCUCCGUAGUGGACAACCCUGAAAAAUCCAAAUGAAGGUACUUAAAAUAGAUUUGCUAUCAAAGUCAUACGUCGAUAUACAUGUAGAAAUGAGAAAACGUACCUUUUUGUCCUGAUACAACUUUAGAUAUUCAAGUGAUUCCUCAUAAAAUCCACAAUGGUAGAGAAGAAUGCUGUAAUCUCUUAAUUCCUUCGAAAAAAAAAAUGAGCUGGCCAAUAAUUCAGUGGAGUACACACGUUAAAGCAUAAAGAGAGAAUUGGUGGUUGAGCUUUGUGUUGUGGGUGGAAAAAGUUUAGGUUAAAAAUUUGUCGGUGUGAUGAGUGAUGGUUGUUUUCUUUCUACUUUCCUAAAGCAACAUCGGUGCAAUGGACUAUUGUCAUGUGUUCAGGGAUGAGUGCUUUCUUUCUACUUUGCUAAAGAAACAUCGGUGCGAUGGACCAUUGUCAUGCGUUCCACUAAUAUUUGUAUGUCCUGUGUCACUGUUUAUAGGUUCCACUAAUAUUUGUCUGUCCUGUCACUCUUUAUAACUUACAAGAGAGUUCCUAUCGUUCUAGAGUGGGCGCAUGAUGCUGCUGAACUAAAAACUGAAAUCGAAAUGGUUACGAAACGAACCCUAAGUUUCUCUCCUUAUUGAGUAAAUUUUAGUUAGGUGAAUCAUGCAUGUAGAUUUACACAUUAUGUAGAUAUAUGAUUCCACAUAAUUUUAUUAUUACUCAAUCACAAAUGAGGUAACAAUUUGUUAUAUACAUCAAUUUACUAGCUCCGCUGUCGUACAUUUUGCCGGUUCAUUCUUCCAAUAUUCCGGCAUUCAAAUUUACUGAUGAUCUGGUCAAUACAAUUACUACAUAAAAAACUGGCACCAAUAGGAAAAUGCAGAAUGUGGCAGGACUCAUAUUUCCGGUUUUGUUCAUCUUGUUAUAUAC